GCUUUCCGCAAGCGGCCACCCGAGGGCGCGCUGGGCGGGCGGCGGCGGCAGACCACGUAGCCAGCCUGUAAGCCACAGCGGACGCAGGGGGCCGCAGCGGGUGCUCAGCCCUAGGGCCGAGCGGGAGAUGUGCGGCGAGUGCAGAAGGGCGGACCCGGGAUGUCCCGGGUUUUCGAGCGGGGAGCCGCCUGCUGAAUGCCCUUCUGCUGCCCUCCGUUCCCGCGGCUCCCCUAGGAGCCCCGCCCCGUCCAACUCUUACCCGGGCUCAUCGCCGCGGCUCAUCUCUCUCGCAACCGCCGCCGCACGCACCCGCUCCGCCGCCCCGCGCAGGGCAUCCUGUCGCCAGCGCAUCCCUCAGAGGAGUUUCAGCAUUUGGGGAUUUGAACGGCCCAUGACCAAUAUUGUGAAAGGACUUUUGUUUGCUGCAAUGAAAAGAAGACUCCUAUUUUUCAAUAAUGAAUUAACCUAAACAUGUAUUAAAAUAUGCUCAUGAAAGCUGUGGGAAGCGACGGUGGGCUUCCUUUGUCUAA
rnacentral:lncRNA from 10 species